AGUGAACGCUGGCGGUAGGCCUAACACAUGCAAGUCGAACGGCAGCACAGUAAGAGCUUGCUCUUACGGGUGGCGAGUGGCGGACGGGUGAGGAAUACAUCGGAAUCUACUUUUUCGUGGGGGAUAACGUAGGGAAACUUACGCUAAUACCGCAUACGACCUACGGGUGAAAGCAGGGGAUCUUCGGACCUUGCGCGAUUGAAUGAGCCGAUGUCGGAUUGGCUAGUUGGCGGGGUAAAGGCCCACCCAGGCGACGAUCCGUAGCUGGUCUGAGAGGAUGAUCAGCCACACUGGAACUGGGACACGGUCCAGACUCCUACGGUAGGCAGCAGUGGGGAAUAUUGGACAAUGGGCGCAAGCCUGAUCCAGCCAUACCGCGUGGGUGAAGAAGGCCUUCGGGUUGUAAAGCCCUUUUGUUGGUAAAGAAAAGCAGCAGGUUAAUACCCCGCUGUUCUGACGGUACCCAAAGAAUAAGCACCGGCUAACUUCGUG
rnacentral:rRNA from 1 species